CGGCCGCGGUACCCUAACCGUGCGAAGGUAGCAUAAUCACUUGUUCUUUAAAUGAGGACUUGUAUCAACGGCACUACGAGGGCUAUACUGUCUCCUUUUUCUAAUCAGUGAAACUGAUCUCCCCGUGAAGAAGCGGGGAUCAAAAUAUAAGACGAGAAGACCCCAUGGAGCUUUAAACUUACCACACACCUCUGUGAUACCGCACCAUUUAACACAAGAGACCUGCGUGCUAGUUUUAGGUUGGGGGGACCACGGAGUAUAAUUAAACCUCCACAACAAAUGGGCUAAUACCCUUAUCCACGAGACACAACUCUAAGAAUUACUAAACUAAUGCUUAUGACCCGAUAUUCGAUCAAUGAACCAAGUUACCCUGGGGAUAACAGCGCAAUCUACUUCAAGAGCCCCUAUCGACAAGUAGGUUUACGACCUCGAUGUUGGAUCAGGGUAUCCCGGUGGUGCAGCCGCUACCGAUGGUUCGUUUGUUCAACGAUUAAAACCCUACGUGAUCUGA
rnacentral:rRNA from 1 species